UCUAAAAAUAAUUUUUUAAACUUUGAACUAAAUAUGAAAAUAAGAUAUUUCUAUGUCAAAAUCCCUGAAAAUACACUUGUAUUCCCUCCAACCACACACCUCCUCUGUGUUUUCAUUUUGCACGUUACUUAAGAUUUUUUUUUCCUUUUUCAUGAAAUAGACAAAUGAGGAAAAAGAUCUAGUAAGGACAUAAGGUUAGGGGUGGCAGGAGUACCCGAACCUGUGGGUACCCGACCCGCCCUAACCCGAUCGGGGUGGGUUCAAAUCCGACUCGAAGCGGGGCGGGUUUUGAUUGGGGUGGAUGGAUGAGCGGGGCGGGGCGGGAUCGGGGUCAGGCUAAACCCGCCUCUACCCACCCUGGAGUACAUGUAUAUAUACACAAUUUUAAGUUUCUAGGGUUCUUAAUCCUCAUAGCGACACAGCCACUGUCCUCACUCCUCAUAUUCAUUAAUGCGUCCCUUUAGCCCCAACCCUAGCAGAGAAAAGGGAAGGAAAUUCACUUCCUCUUCUCCCUAGUCACUUCCUCUUCUCCCCAGUACAACAUCAGAUCUGGUCACCUUCACUGCGCUGUCGACUCUUCUGCGGAGCUUGUCGCCGUCGAUGCGCUGCCGUCCUGCCGAGCCCGUCGCCGAGUCACUGCCGUUGUGCUGUCGUCCUGUUGAUGCCGUGUUGCCGCUGCCGAAUGCUCAAACCUACUCAUCGUUGCUGCACUACCGAAGCUACUGAGUACUGAACCAAUGAACCCUUCUUUCUUGCCAUCUUCCUCCAACACGUUUAUUAAAUGGUGGAAGAACAAGAAUAAUGAUUGAAGACUCUUUUGAUGCAAUUUCUUUAUUAUGUUGUUAAAUUUGUAGUGAGUAAAUAUUAAUCUUUUUUAAUUUCAAGUUAUUUGACAUUGUAUGAAUCUUAUGUUUGUAUUUUAAUUAAUUUAUUUA